rnacentral:lncRNA from 1 species
UCACACAGUUCAGAUUUGUUAAAACUACAUUUGUUUUGCACUUCUAAUAAACACUGUUUCAUUACUUAAUUUGUUAUGCGAAUUGAUACUCUGCAUAAAUAAUGGUGUUUACAUGAGAGUUAGUCCAUAAUGAAUAUUUUUCUGAGCAUGAAUUGAUAGUGCAAAGUUAGAAUACACUUGUACUGGCAGUAAACCGAAUUUCAU